rnacentral:rRNA from 1 species
AGUCGAGCGGUAAGGCCCUUUCGGGGGUACACGAGCGGCGAACGGGUGAGUAACACGUGGGUGACCUGCCCUCCACUCUGGGAUAAGCCCGGGAAACUGGGUCUAAUACCGGAUAGGACCAUUGGAUGCAUGUCUGGUGGUGGAAAGUUUUUUCGGUGGGGGAUGGGCCCGCGGCCUAUCAGCUUGUUGGUGGGGUGAUGGCCUACCAAGGCGGUGACGGGUAGCCGGCCUGAGAGGGCGACCGGCCACACUGGGACUGAGACACGGCCCAGACUCCUACGGGAGGCAGCAGUGGGGAAUAUUGCGCAAUGGGCGGAAGCCUGACGCAGCGACGCCGCGUGGGGGAUGACGGCCUUCGGGUUGUAAACCUCUUUCGCCAGGGACGAAGCUAACGUGACGGUACCUGGAGAAGAAGCACCGGCCAACUACGUGCCAGCAGCCGCGGUAACACGUAGGGUGCGAGCGUUGUCCGGAAUUAUUGGGCGUAAAGAGCUCGUAGGCGGUGUGUCGCGUCGGCCGUGAAAACUUGGGGCUUAACUCUGAGCGUGCGGUCGAUACGGGCAUCACUUGAGUUCGGCAGGGGAGACUGGAAUUCCUGGUGUAGCGGUGAAAUGCGCAGAUAUCAGGAGGAACACCGGUGGCGAAGGCGGGUCUCUGGGCCGAUACUGACGCUGAGGAGCGAAAGCGUGGGGAGCGAACAGGAUUAGAUACCCUGGUAGUCCACGCCGUAAACGUUGGGCGCUAGGUGUGGGGACCAUUCCACGGUUUCUGUGCCGCAGCUAACGCAUUAAGCGCCCCGCCUGGGGAGUACGGCCGCAAGGCUAAAACUCAAAGGAAUUGACGGGGCCCGCACAAGCGGCGGAGCAUGUGGAUUAAUUCGAUGCAACGCGAAGAACCUUACCUGGGUUUGACAUGCACAGGAUCGCGG